AGCUUGCUUCUUUGCUGACGAGUGGCGGACGGGUGAGUAAUGUCUGGGAAACUGCCUGAUGGAGGGGGAUAACUACUGGAAACGGUAGCUAAUACCGCAUAACGUCGCAAGACCAAAGAGGGGGACCUUCGGGCCUCUUGCCAUCGGAUGUGCCCAGAUGGGAUUAGCUAGUAGGUGGGGUAACGGCUCACCUAGGCGACGAUCCCUAGCUGGUCUGAGAGGAUGACCAGCCACACUGGAACUGAGACACGGUCCAGACUCCUACGGGAGGCAGCAGUGGGGAAUAUUGCACAAUGGGCGCAAGCCUGAUGCAGCCAUGCCGCGUGUAUGAAGAAGGCCUUCGGGUUGUAAAGUACUUUCAGCGGGGAGGAAGGGAGUAAAGUUAAUACCUUUGCUCAUUGACGUUACCCGCAGAAGAAGCACCGGCUAACUCCGUGCCAGCAGCCGCGGUAAUACGGAGGGUGCAAGCGUUAAUCGGAAUUACUGGGCGUAAAGCGCACGCAUGCGGUUUGUUAAGUCAGAUGUGAAAUCCCCGGGCUCAACCUGGGAAACUGCAUCUGAUACUGGCAAGCUUGAGUCUCGUACAGGGGGGUAGAAUUCCAGGUGUAGCGGUGAAAUGCGUAAAGAUCUGGAGGAAUACCGGUGGCGAAGGCGGCCCCUUGGACGAAGACUGACGCUCAGGUGCGAAAGCGUGGGGAGCAA
rnacentral:rRNA from 1 species